AUUACAAGAAGAAAAAGAAGUUUGUUCUUAACAUUGGAUUCCUGUCAGAAAGUCCACAACAAGAUCCUUGAGCAAGAUCAAACACGCUUGGCACAGAAGAGGUCAGUUUAUGCAAGUCAUAGCUGAAAUCAUGCAUGUGCUUAGCCAUCUUACAAAUCUGUGUCUAAGAUUCAUA
ensembl:processed_transcript